rnacentral:rRNA from 1 species
UACGUAGGGGGCAAGCGUUGUCCGGAAUCAUUGGGCGUAAAGAGCGUGUAGGCGGCCCGAUAAGUCCGCUGUGAAAGUCCAGGGCUCAACCCUGGAAUGCCGGUGGAUACUGUCGGGCUCGAAUCCGGAAGAGGUGAGUGGAAUUCCUGGUGUAGCGGUGAAAUGACGCAGAGAUCAGGAGGAACACCGAUGGCGAAGGCAGGUCUCUGGGCCACUACUGACGCUGAGAAGCGAAAGCAUGGGGAGCGAACAGG